GCCAGGCACAGUAGUGCAUGCUUGUAAUCCCAGCUACUUGGGAGGCUGAGGCAGGAGGAUUACAAGUUCAAGGCCAGUUUCAGCAAUUUAGCAAGGCCCUAAAUAACUUAGUGAGACCCUGUCUCCA
rnacentral:sRNA from 1 species